rnacentral:rRNA from 1 species
UACAGAGGGUGCAAGCGUUAAUCGGAAUUACUGGGCGUAAAGCGCGCGUAGUCGGUUAUUUAAGUCGGGCGUGAAAGCCCCGGGCUCAACCUGGGAAUUGCGUUCGAUACUGGAUAGCUAGAGUUCGGCAGAGGGAAGCGGAAUUUCGGGUGUAGCGGUGAAAUGCGUAGAUAUCCGAAGGAACAUCAGUGGCGAAAGCGGCUUCCUGGACCAGAACUGACGAUCAGGCACGAAAGCGUGGGGAGCAAACAGG